rnacentral:rRNA from 1 species
UACAGAGGUCUCAAGCGUUGUUCGGAUUCAUUGGGCGUAAAGGGUGCGUAGGCGGCGCGGUAAGUCGGGUGUGAAAACUCGGGGCUUAACCCCGAGCCUGCAGUGGAUACGGGCAGACUAGAGGUAGGUAGGGGAGAAUGGAAUUCCCGGUGUAGCGGUGAAAUGCGCAGAUAUCGGGAGGAACACCGGUGGCGAAGGCGGUUCUCUGGGCCUUACCUGACGCUGAGGAGCGAAAGCGUGGGGAGCGAACAGG